UCCACUGUGAAGUGGAAUCUGAAGGAAGUCUGAGGAGCAAAAUACCGCACCAAUGAACAAGAAGUAGCUAUAAGGCCAGAACUGAUUGGAUAAGAUUGCCCAACAAAUCGAAGGGUACUAUCCCCUGUCAAGUUAACACUUAUAAAAACGAAAACACAA
rfam:Lactobacillus fermentum CECT 5716, complete genome.